GACGAACGCUGGCGGCGUGCUUAACACAUGCAAGUCGAACGGAAAGGCCCCGCUGUGGCUACAUGAGCGGGGGACGGGGGAGUAAGAGGAAAGCGAGUGGCCCUUGCCUAUGGUACUGGAGUCAGAAAGAGAAGCCAGCACUGAAAACGUAUAGCCUCCUGCACCGGGGGGGGUGGAAGGCAACGGCGGUCGGGGAUGGGCUCGCGGCCGAUCAGCCGGUUGGUGAGGGAAUGGCUAACUAAGGCUUAGACGGGUGGCCGGCCUGGGAGGGGGACCGGCCACACUGGGACUGAGAUACGGCCCAGACUCCUACGGGAGGCAGCAGUGGGGAAUAUUGCACAAUGGGCGCAAGCCUGAUGCAGCAACGCCGCGUGCGGGAUGACGGCCUUCGGGUUGUAAACCGCUUUCAGUGGAGACGAAGAGUGACUGACGGUACCUACAGAAGAAGCACCGGCUAACUACGUG
rnacentral:rRNA from 1 species